CCUGGAUGGUGGUGUGUAACGUGGCCAUCCUCUGGGCCCUGAAACGCUCACGAGGUUCUGGUAAAGAUGAGAUGAAUCCUAUGAAAAGAAAGGCCUUUAAGAUGGUGCUGUCAAUUUUGAUCAUAAUCAUAAGCAACUAUCUCCCUCCAGUGGCUCUGUUCCCCUUUGAAGACCAUUAUCCCCAUAAGGUCUUCACUUGCUAUGUGCAGCCAGUAUGUUAUGCCUUUGUAAACAUCAGCAGCACUGUCCAGCCUUUAACUUACUUAUCCCGCUUAGAGAAAGUACCAUUCUUGCCUGAAUCUUGUGUGGAGAAGUUAAG
ensembl:lncRNA